AUACGUAGGUGACAAGCGUUAUCCGGAUUUACUGGGCGUAAAGGGCGUGUAGGCGGUCUUGCAAGUCAGAAGUGAAAUUCCUGAGCUCAACUCGGGCGCUGCUUCUGAAACUGCAGGACUUGAGUGCUGGAGGGGAUAGCGGAAUUCCUAGUGGAGCGGUAAAAUGCGCAGAUAUUAGGAAGAACACCGGUGGCGAAGGCGGCUAUCUGGACAGUAACUGACGCUGAGGCGCGAAAGCGUGGGGAGCAAACAGGAUUAGAUCCCCUGGUAGUCCACGCCGUAAACGAUGAAUACUAGGUGUAGCGGGUAUCGACUCCCUCUGUGCCGCAGUUAACACAAUAAGUAUUCCGCCUGGGGAGUACGGCCGCAAGGUUGAAACUCAAAUGAAUUGACGGGG
rnacentral:rRNA from 1 species